CAGCCGCCGCGGGAACACGAAGGGUGCAAGCGUUAAUCGGAAUUACUGGGCGUAAAGCGUGCGUAGGCGGUGAGUUAAGUCUGCUGUGAAAUCCCCGGGCUCAACCUGGGAAUGGCAGUGGAUACUGGCUCGCUAGAGUGUGUCAGAGGAUGGUGGAAUUCCCGGUGUAGCGGUGAAAUGCGUAGAGAUCGGGAGGAACAUCAGUGGCGAAGGCGGCCAUCUGGGACAACACUGACGCUGAGGCACGAAAGCGUGGGGAGCAAACAGGAUUAGAUACCCGCGUAGUCCCUGUCUCUUAUAC
rnacentral:rRNA from 1 species